rnacentral:SRP_RNA from 1 species
ACUGGGUGUGGCGGUCCAUGCCUGUAGUCCCUGCUUUUGAGGAAGUUGAGACUGGUGGAUUGCCGGAGCUUCAGUAGGCUAAGUCAAUACAUACAGUGUCCACACUAUGUCUGGCAUCAGUAUACUGAGAUCCUGAGAGCAGAGGGGCUACCAGGCUGCCUAAGGAAAGGAAACCUGCUCAGGUUAGAAACUGAGCAAAUCAAAGUUUCUGUGCUGAUCAGGAGUGGGAUCAGCCCAUGAGUGGAGGUUACACUACCAGCCUGGGAGACUCAGUCUCA